rnacentral:lncRNA from 1 species
GAAAGGAACGUCAUGGAAGAUGGCCUUUGGGCCUCUAUCCCUGUCAUUCCUCCAAGGAAAAUGGUGGCCUGCAGGUUAUUGGUCUCUCUGGGCCCCAGGCUGAGGGUCUUCUGAGGAUGGCAGAGGAGGCUACUCUGCUGCUCCUGGUUCAUGUGGUGGGGCUUGGAUAGGGGUGUGCACUGGGAGCAUAAACGCUCUGGAAACAUCAGCCUGCUGUGGAAGGACCACCCUGUCUCUUCUCUACUGUGUGGCUCACCUCAGAGGAAGGAUGGAAUUAUCGGGACACCAGAGACAAGACUGAGAGAAGGACCCAGUAGGGACCUGCCCCAGCUCAAUGCUAUGUCCCCGAGACUCUACACUGGUCCCAGAGAACAAGCCCAGAGGGAUCUGAGCUGCCAGUGCCCCUGCAAAUCGGGUUUUGUUUUGUUAUGUUCCCUAUUUUCUAUUCCUUAAGGCCAGUUCCUCCAAGGGAGCAAACAUGCAGUUGGUGGCAGCAACAGUUGAAAUCCCACCAGCCACCUCUCCUGCCAGCCUCACCAACCUCUUCUCCGCUCCUGGGGUUUUCUUAAUAAACACCUCUGAAAUAUUUAUGAAGGCAACUUCAA